UACGUAGGUGGCAAGCGUUGUCCGGAUUUAUUGGGUUUAAAGGGUGCGUAGGCGGUCUAUUAAGUCAGUGGUGAAAUAUCCCGGCUUAACCGGGAGGGUGGCAUUGAUACUGUAUGACUUGAGUAAAGUUGAGGUUGGCGGAAUUGACGGUGUAGCGGUGAAAUGCUUAGAUAUCGUCAAGAACACCGAUUGCGAAGGCAGCUAACUAAGCUUUAACUGACGCUGAGGCACGAAAGUGUGGGGAUCAAACAGG
rnacentral:rRNA from 1 species